AUGCAUGUAUUUGUGAAGUGCACUUCGCGCCAGAAGCCUUCGAAAGAAAUUUGCUGUUUGAAAUGGGUUUAAGUUCGCGGAAUCCAACGAAGUUGCUGCCUAGCGCUUUUUCCACGUUAACCACUUCUCCUGCAGAGGCAGAACGGCAGAAAAGGAUGGAGUCUCGUCCACCCAAUAAUUCCAUAGAAAUAAUUUGGAGCAAAAACUCAGCUGGUUUUCACCAACGGCCAGUAUGUACAUAGAUUGAAAAAUUAAGAGAUGGAAGCAAACGAAGCAAUUGGAAAGAAGAAGACAUAGCUAAGUCGAUCACGCUAUAUUCAACGAGCGGAAAGCGUACAAACUCUUAAGGAGAAACAACUUUCCUCUACCAGGUGUGCGCACUCUGCAAUGGUGGUAAAAAAAAAUUUAUUGAUUGACUGUUGAAGGCAGCAACUGAGCUAACACAAGCGCAAAAAUUUGUGUAGGUACUCAGUUUUGAUGAAAUGAAGGUCAGAAAGACUUACUGCUACGAUAGAUCAACUGAUUCGACAUUGCCUCCUGUUAACUACGUUCAGCUUGCAAUUAAACUCACUAAUUUACUUGAAGUAAAUUUUUUCUAAUAUACUUUGUUCCUUUAGGUUUGAUAAGUAGAUGGAAACAGCCUGUAUUCUUCGAAUAUGACUGCAAAAUGACGAAGGAAGUAUUGUUUAGCACUUUGUCAAACGUUAAAUAGUGCGGUUACAAUAUUGUUGCCAUUGUAAGCAAUUUUGGUGGAUUUAAUAGAGGCUUAUAUAAUGAUCUUGAAAUUAAUGUGGGAAAACCUUGGUUUUCACACAACGGAGACAGGAUUGUGGUUUUUGCUUAAUAAAACUACAUAGGAAUCAUUUUUUGGAUAAGGUUAAACUAGCCACAAAAUUGUUCUCCCACACAAUUGCUCAAGCAAUUACUCGAGCGGCUAGUUUACGCUUACUAGAUAAUGAAAAUUGGGAGG